rnacentral:rRNA from 1 species
GACAGAGGGUGCUAGCGUUGUUCGGAAUUACUGGGCGUAAAGGGCUCGUAGGCGGCCAACUAAGUCAGACGUGAAAUCCCUCGGCUUAACCGGGGAACUGCAUCUGAUACUGGAUGGCUUGAGUUCGGGAGAGGGAUGCGGAAUUCCAGGUGUAGCGGUGAAAUGCGUAGAUAUCUGGAGGAACACCGGUGGCGAAGGCGGCAUCCUGGACCGACACUGACGCUGAGGAGCGAAAGCCAGGGGAGCAAAGCGGG